UACGUAGGGUGCGAGCGUUAAUCGGAAUUACUGGGCGUAAAGCGUGCGCAGGCGGUUCGCUAAGACCGAUGUGAAAUCCCCGGGCUUAACCUGGGAACUGCAUUGGUGACUGGCGGGCUAGAGUAUGGCAGAGGGGGGGUAGAAUUCCGACGUGUAGCAGUGAAAUGCGUAGAGAUGUGGAGGAAUACCGAUGGCGAAGGCAGCCCCCUGGGCCAAUACUGACCGCUCAUGCACGAAAGCGUGGGGAGCAAACAGG
rnacentral:rRNA from 1 species